rnacentral:tRNA from 1 species
CAGAUUAAAUCUUUAUAGUUUAAGAAUUUCAUUUACGCUGAAUAUGUUUCCGUGCAAUUCGGUAUAAUCUGA